UACGGGGGGAGCAAGCGUUGUUCGGAUUUACUGGGCGUAAAGGGCGCGUAGGCGGCACGGUAAGUCGGGAGUGAAAGCCCGGGGCUCAACCCCGGAACGUCUUUCGAAACUGCCGAGCUAGAGUGCGGAAGAGGCAACUGGAAUUCCCAGUGUAGCGGUGAAAUGCGUAGAUAUUGGGAAGAACACCUGAGGCGAAGGCGGGUUGCUGGGCCGACACUGACGCUGAUGCGCGAAAGCCAGGGGAGCGAACGGG
rnacentral:rRNA from 1 species